rnacentral:rRNA from 1 species
UACGUAGGGUGCGAGCGUUGUCCGGAAUUAUUGGGCGUAAAGAGCUUGUAGGCGGUUUGUCGCGUCUGCCGUGAAAAUUCGAGGCUCAACCUCGAACUUGCGGUGGGUACGGGCAGACUAGAGUGCGGUAGGGGAGAUUGGAAUUCCUGGUGUAGCGGUGGAAUGCGCAGAUAUCAGGAGGAACACCGAUGGCGAAGGCAGAUCUCUGGGCCGUAACUGACGCUGAGGAGCGAAAGCAUGGGGAGCGAACAGG